UAAGACGCUGUGGAGGUAAAUACGAGAAUUCCUCCUAGAGAAUCCCAACUGGAGCAGAACUGAUCGGCCGUGAAUGAAUGUUUUAAAAGAGAGAGAGAGUGUGUUUAUGGCAGAGCGUUAGAGAGAGAGAGAGGGAGAACGCAGGAGAAAAGGCCGACCCGGUCAAUCAACUGCGAUCUCCCACGCUUCACUUCACUUGGUCGGAGAACGAACACGCCUACACCCCGCUCCGCUAAUCAUCCCCCUUCUGAUCUUCUCUUUUCUCGUGAUAUUAUUGUUUCUAUAUACUUUCAGAUUCAUAAUUAGGGUUUUUUACUUUUGUAAACUAUAGGAAUUCCUGAUGGCUUCGAAACGGAUCUUGAAAGAACUCAAGGAUAUCCAGAAGGAUCCUCCUACCUCUUGCAGUGCAGGUUUCUUUCUAUCGGGCUGAAGGCCUGCUUGGUUCAUAAAGUUCAGAGAAUGUAUUCGAAUUCAUCCACAGCUUUGUGAUGGACCAAUUAACGCCUUUACAGUAACGUGUACUGUAACCAUGGGUUCAUUUAUGUAACCUCACAGGGUACGUUGGAGAUCUGUCUACUUCUAUCUUUGUUAGCAUAUGACAAUUAUUGGCCAGUACAAAAGAUCCCCUUGAAGGCCACUCGGCAUCAAGUAACAUACUUUGCUGAGAAGAACCUAUACCCACUUAUAGUUUCUGUUCCUGUCUCAAAGCCUAUAAAUCAAGUGCUAUCAACUCUGGUUGAUCAAGAAUCUGGCCACCAAAUUGAGCAUGAUAAUUUAAAUCUUGAUGGUACUUAAUAUUGUUGAAGAAUUCGAGGUUAGAAUUUUGGAACCAGAGAGUUCUGGUGGGCCAUGGCAAAAAAAGGAACUAUUCACAUACAAACUUCUGAGCCUGCGUUAACUGUCAGUGGUUACAUUAUCUAAUACAACAACAAGAGAGAAUGAAACUCUGUUGGCAAUUGGGACUGCCUAUGUGCAAGGGGAAGAUGUAGCUGCAAGAGGACGUGUUCUUUUGUUCUCAGUUGAAAAUAGCACUGAGAAUUCACCGGCAAAGGCAAAGUGCUCAUUGUGGUGGCUCAAUGGUGAUUCCAACAAGGCCGUGGGCGGCUGGAGCUUUUUGUUGCUAUUGUUGAAGCCUCCUUUAGUUCCUGGAAUAGGGGGGAAAAGUAAGGAGCUAGGAUAAUGAUGUAAACUGUACUGUAUAUGGCUUACUUUCUUACGUCUGUGCAGUGCCCCGAUUUGAGAGGAGAUCGGGUUUCUACUCCCUUCACUGACCAGGUACACGCGUUUAUAGUGCUCAAUAUUGGUGAGUUCUUUAACUUUUGCAUUGGCUCAUUUCAAUAUGCAGAGAAUGUUACGACUUGUGUUUCUUGGGAUGGUAAUGGGCACGGUUUAUGCGUAGUCAAGAAACUUAACGUAUUGAUACGUAGUUCUUUAACUUUUACACAGCCUUUGGAAUGCCUUUGUGAUCAUAGAUCUUAUGACGUAGUUUUUUCCUUACGUCUCAUUUUGCCAAUUUAUUUUUCUACUUUUGUACAAAAAUAAUGUUUGGGAUUAAUAAUUGAUACAUUUUUUUUUAUUUCA